CAGCCGCCGCGGUAAUACGAAGGGUGCAAGCGUUAAUCGGAAUUACUGGGCGUAAAGCGUGCGUAGGCGGUGAGUUAAGUCUGCUGUGAAAUCCCCGGGCUCAACCUGGGAAUGGCAGUGGAUACUGGCUCGCUAGAGUGUGUCAGAGGAUGGUGGAAUUCCCGGUGUAGCGGUGAAAUGCGUAGAGAUCGGGAGGAACAUCAGUGGCGAAGGCGACUAUCUGGGCCAACACUGACACUGAGGCACGAAAGCGUGGGGAGCAAACAGGAUUAGAUACCCGCGUAGUCCCUGUCUCUUAUAC
rnacentral:rRNA from 1 species